rnacentral:rRNA from 1 species
GAGUUUGAUCCUGGCUCAGGAUAAACGCUGGCGGCGCACAUAAGACAUGCAAGUCGAACGGAAGUCGUUAUAAAACGGAUUGAAGAUUUAUCUGAAAGAAGUUUUGUAACAAUGGCUUUAGUGGCGGACUGGUGAGUAACACGUAAGCAACCUACCUAUUAGAGGGGGAUAACAGUGAGAAAUCAUUGCUAAUACCGCAUAAGCUUGUAGUAUCGCAUGAUAUAGCAAGAAAAGGAGAAAUCCACUAAUAGAUGGGCUUGCGGCUGAUUAGCUAGUUGGUAAGGUAACGGCUUACCAAGGCAACGAUCAGUAGCCGGGCUGAGAGGCUCUGCGGCCACAUUGGGACUGAGAUACGGCCCAGACUCCUACGGGAGGCAGCAGUCGGGAAUAUUGCGCAAUGGAGGAAACUCUGACGCAGUGACGCCGCGUAUAGGAAGAAGGUUUUCGGAUUGUAAACUAUUUAGUCAGGGAAGGAAAAAGACGGUACCGAAGAAUAG